AUGAACGCUAGCUACAGGCUUAACACAUGCAAGUCGAGGGGCAGCAUGAACUUAGCUUGCUAAGUUUGAUGGCGACCGGCGCACGGGUGAGUAACACGUAUCCAACCUGCCGAUGACUCGGGGAUAGCCUUUCGAAAGAAAGAUUAAUACCCGAUGGCAUAGUUCUUCCGCAUGGUAGAACUAUUAAAGAAUUUCGGUCAUCGAUGGGGAUGCGUUCCAUUAGGUUGUUGGCGGGGUAACGGCCCACCAAGCCUUCGAUGGAUAGGGGUUCUGAGAGGAAGGUCCCCCACAUUGGAACUGAGACACGGUCCAAACUCCUACGGGAGGCAGCAGUGAGGAAUAUUGGUCAAUGGACGAGAGUCUGAACCAGCCAAGUAGCGUGAAGGAUGACUGCCCUAUGGGUUGUAAACUUCUUUUAUACGGGAAUAAAGUGAGGCACGUGUGCCUUUUUGUAUGUACCGUAUGAAUAAGGAUCGGCUAACUCCGUGCCAGCAGCCGCGGUAAUACGGAGGAUCCGAGCGUUAUCCGGAUUUAUUGGGUUUAAAGGGAGCGUAGGCGGACGCUUAAGUCAGUUGUGAAAGUUUGCGGCUCAACCGUAAAAUUGCAGUUGAUACUGGGUGUCUUGAGUACAGUAGAGGCAGGCGGAAUUCGUGGUGUAGCGGUGAAAUGCUUAGAUAUCACGAAGAACUCCGAUUGCGAAGGCAGCUUGCUGGACUGUAACUGACGCUGAUGCUCGAAAGUGUGGGUAUCAAACAGGAUUAGAUACCCUGGUAGUCCACGCUGUAAACGAUGAUUACUAGGUGUGGGGGGUCUGACCCCUUCCGUGCCGGAGUUAACACAAUAAGUAAUCCACCUGGGGAGUACGACCGCAAGGUUGAAACUCAAAGGAAUUGACGGGGGCCCGCACAAGCGGUGGAGUAUGUGGUUUAAUUCGACGCAACGCGAAGAACCUUACCAGGUCUUGACAUCCGAUGCAUAGCACAGAGAUGUGUGAAAUCCUUCGGGACAUCGAGACAGGUGGUGCAUGGUUGUCGUCAGCUCGUGCCGUGAGGUGUCGGCUUAAGUGCCAUAACGAGCGCAACCCUUAUCGAUAGUUACCAUCAGGUUAUGCUGGGGACUCUGUCGAGACUGCCGUCGUAAGAUGUGAGGAAGGUGGGGAUGACGUCAAAUCAGCACGGCCCUUACGUCCGGGGCUACACACGUGUUACAAUGGGGGGUACAGAAGGCAGCUACACGGCGACGUGAUGCUAAUCCCGAAAGCCUCUCUCAGUUCGGAUUGGAGUCUGCAACCCGACUCCAUGAAGCUGGAUUCGCUAGUAAUCGCGCAUCAGCCACGGCGCGGUGAAUACGUUCCCGGGCCUUGUACACACCGCCCGUCACACCAUGAGAGUUGGGGAUACCCGAAGCCUGUGAGCCAACAGUUAAAUGGGGCAGCAGUCGAAGGUAGAAUCAAUGAUUGGGGUG
rnacentral:rRNA from 1 species